GACGAACGCUGGCGGCGUGCUUAACACAUGCAAGUCGAGCGGUAAGGCCCUUUCGGGGGUACACGAGCGGCGAACGGGUGAGUAACACGUGGGUGACCUGCCCUCAGCUCUGGGAUAAGCCUGGGAAACUGGGUCUAAUACCGGAUAUGACUCCAUGACGCAUGUUGUGGGGUGGAAAGCCUUGUGCGGCUGGGGAUGGGCCCGCGGCCUAUCAGCUUGUUGGUGGGGUGAUGGCCUACCAAGGCGACGACGGGUAGCCGGCCUGAGAGGGCGACCGGCCACACUGGGACUGAGACACGGCCCAGACUCCUACGGGAGGCAGCAGUGGGGAAUCUUGCGCAAUGGGCGAAAGCCUGACGCAGCGACGCCGCGUGAGGGAUGACGGCCUGGUUGU
rnacentral:rRNA from 1 species